GUCUGACAUACUGGGAAGGGGUUUUUAUUAACAAACAAAGAAAUACAAAUAAAGACUGGCGCGGUGGCCGAAAACGAUUUAAACUUAAAUAAAGAACAUAAACAAACCCGUAGGCGUGUGGCGAUUGCCAGAACUCAAAACACAUAACACUAAACAAGGUCAAGUUCGUGCAUAGAGUUCACGAAAAUGCCAGCGACCCCGAACGGGCGGAACCUUCCGGCAUUUAUGGGGCGUCAGGAUUAAAGUCAGGUGUGGAGGCCAGCUGCAGGCAAUCCUGACAGAGCCCCCCCUCCAAGGGCUACGUCCUCGGAGCCCCAACAGUACCAUCAGUGGAGGCGGCGGGGCGGACGGCGGCAACCACAGGGCUCCUGCCCUGCUGUAUCCUCCCCUUGGAGGACCCGGUCCCUCGGGCUGGCUCCCCGGCGUGGUCAGGCGUGGCGGCCCCGGUCCCUCGGGCUGGCUCCCCGGCGUGGUCAGGCGUGGCGGCCCCGGUCCCUCGGGCUGGCUCCCCGGCGUGGUCAGGCGUGGCGGCCCCGGUCCCUCGGGCUGGCUCCCCGGCGUGGUCAGGCGUGGCGGCCCCGGACCCUCGGCCUGGCUCCCCGGCGUGGUCCCGCUUGGCGGCCCCGGACCCUCGGCCUGGCUCCCCGGCGUGGUCCCGCUUGGCGGCCCCGGACCCUCGGCCUGGCUCCCCGGCGUGAUCCCGCUUGGCGGCCCCGGACCCUCGGCCUGGCUCUCCGGCGUGGUCCCGCUUGGCGGCCCCGGACCCUCGGCCUGGCUCCCCGGCGUGGUCCCGCUUGGCGGCCCCGGACCCUCGGCCUGGCUCCCCGGCGUGGUCCCGCUUGGCGGCCCCGGACCCUCGGCCUGGCUCCCCGGCGUGGUCCCGCUUGGCGGCCCCGGACCCUCGGCCUGGCCCCCCCGGCGUGGUCCCGCAUGGCGGCCCCGGACCCUCGGCCUGGCUCCCCGGCGUGGUCCCGCAUGGCGGGCCCCGGACCCUCGGCCUGGCUCCCCGGCGUGGUCCCGCAUGACGGCCCCGGACUCCCGUACCUGCACACAAUAAUCAGGGCCGAUCCAUCUGGGUACGUGUGGGCCCUGUCUCCACAUGUCCCCUCUGACACAUCUUGUGUCACCCCCUGCACCGCGCAGGGAGAUUGUCCCAGAGCCUCCGGCGACUGUUCCAGGCACCCCAGGCUGGUGCCUUCUGGGACUAUGCAGCCCCUCUCGCUGCCCGGCCCUGGUGCCAAGGGGGGGGCAUUGCCAGACCAUCCGGCUAGCCCCUUCUGCGUCCGUUGGGACAAGCAGGCCCUCUUCCUGCCUGUCCCAGCUGGGUCCUCAUGCCUACCCGGGGGCUCUAUGGCGCUCCACCCCUCUGGAGGCAGACGCAGGCCCAUGCCUGCCCCGCCCUCCUC
rnacentral:lncRNA from 1 species